rnacentral:rRNA from 1 species
GAUGAACGCUGGCGGCGUGCCUAAUACAUGCAAGUCGAGCGAACGGACGAGACGCUUGCUUUUCUGAUGUUAGCGGCGGACGGGUGAGUAACACGUGGAUAACCUACCUAUAAGACUGGGAUAAAUUCGGGAAACCGGAGCUAAUACCGGAUAAUAUUUUGAACCGCAUGGUUCAAAAGUGAAAGACGGUCUUGCUGUCACUUAUCGAUGGAUCCGCGCUGCAUUAGCUAGUUGGUAAGGUAACGGCUUACCAAGGCAACGAUGCAUAGCCGACCUGAGAGGGUGAUCGGCCACACUGGAACUGAGACACGGUCCAGACUCCUACGGGAGGCAGCAGUAGGGAAUCUUCCGCAAUGGGCGAAAGCCUGACGGAGCAACGCCGCGUGAGUGAUGAAGGUCUUCGGAUCGUAAAACUCUGUUAUUAGGGAAGAACAUAUGUGUAAGUAACUGUGCACAUCUUGACGUUACCUAAUCAGAAAGCCACGGCUAACUACGUG